AUGGUAUCUUCUCAGCUGGCUCGAGGGCACACCUCCCAAAAUGCAGAGAAGGCAGGGUGGCUAGGAAUGGCUCUAGUAGAAUUCUCCCCUUAUCUUGUCUGGAAACAAGGGGCAAAGAGCUAUCUAUUUCCUCCUGCCAGCCUCCUGCCCCCAACAGGAUUCCUCACAUCCCAGGACCAGCUGGAAAAGGUGGUGAGAGUUGGAAAGAGACUGCUCAGUGAGGACUGCCCUGCGAACCAGCUUGGAUUCAUCCCGUUCACCUCCACGUUCUGCACUCGGGGCCGAGGGAAGGGAGGCAGCCCAGGCAGCUAGAGAACUUGAUGAAACACACUCAAUCUGAAUCUCGCUUGAUCGUCAUGCUGACCCAGUGAGGCCACUCCUCGACUUUUCAGCUCCCGCACGAUUCCUGAAGCAGGAAAAGAAACAGUUCUGUGAGUCUACUCAGGGUCAGGCAUCCUUUCCGACUACUCACUCAGCAGCGGAUCCCCACCCGCCUCUGACUCCCAGUGUCUUUCGGCUCCAACGUAAGUUCACCGAACGUCUAAGAGCUGAGGAUUCAAAGGCAUGUAAGACCGCCCCUGCCCUCAGCUGCAAGACCUGUCCGCGAUCCUACGAGCCCCAUUCCGCCCUCUUUCCCCGACCUUGGUCCCCCAUGGGCCCUACAACCAGGUCCCCGACUGACACCUUGACCAGCGAACACAGCAAACAGGCCCGCAGAUGCCGCAGGUCCUUCGGCACCGUCUCCAGGGCCAUCUUCGCCGAUGGGAAGAACAACAGGGAGAUAGACGACCACAGCCUGUGCACCCGCAGGAAGUAAAUAGCUCGUUACCCAGAAUGCCCACCACUUCCGGCGCUUAGACUUCCUCUUCCGGUGUGGGCGGACGCCAGCUCCGCCCCUACCCCCGCCAGAGGAGAUGGUUUCUCCCGCCAGCAGGCGGGGAGGCUGGGCGGCCGGCCGCCACCUGGGCCGGAGCGCGUCGCAGCCACCUGAGCCCGCCGAGGGCGCGGCGGAGGCUGUGUGGGGUAGUCAGCGGGCCCCCGGGGCGGGGGGGCGGCUGCGCUUGCGCGGGAGUGUGUCGGGCUGAGCCGCAGCGCCGAGACGCGGGCUGUUUGAUCUGGGCUGGUGGCCCUGGGCGUCGGUCCUGUUCCCCGAUGGUAACCCGAAGUUUGUUUUUUUUUGUUUUGUCUCCCCGUUUUAGAAGCAUUGGGGGCAGUGAAUCCACUGUCUCCCUCUGGAUUGUCUCUGCAGAGACCGAGAAGAAAUCCAGGGACAGCCCCACCCCUCCUUCCUAACUGCGAGAGCGCUAUAGGGUUUCCACUUGCUUCCCACAGGAAUGCUGGCCUGGGAGCUACGGCGGAAAAAAAUGCGUAUUUAUCUUUUAAAACUCCGUCUGUUUGCUCGUUCCGGCUGAUAAUUUAUACUUUGCGCAGUUCUUAGCGCUUAGACACGGUUCCUUUACUAAAGACCAUUUGUAGGAGAUUAGGUGUCCUUUUUUUCCCUUUCAUUUCACCGUCUAGGAAGCGAAAUGCCUUGUUCUAUAGGCACUAAACCACCACCCCUACCAAACCUUUCUCGGGGAAGCAGAAGGGGAACUUGUGCCUUGUGAGGAAGCGACAAAGGCCCCUUCUGGCCCUGGAGACUUCACGCCAAUGGAGCACCAGCUCUCUGUCCUCGCAAUAGCCCGAGUGCAGGCAGAACGCAGUCAUUUGUGUUUAUCUGAGAGGAGCUUUGGGAUAUAAAUAGUUUCAGGCCCCGCUGCGCUGUCAUUCCAGCCCAGCCUCCUGAUUGAGCUGCUUCCGGGCGGGCUUUCUUCUUGUUGGCGGUCCCAUGCUGUGUUCAGAUGGGCUCUGUGACAGGUUUGGAUGUUUUCUAUCACUGAAUAAAACUUUCCACUUUGGAACAUAUUUUCUACACUCUAUUAUCUCAUGUAAGUCCUGCAACAACUAUUAAGUAGGCCCAUUUUAUGGACUGAAAAAGCGAGGCACAGAGUAUUUGCCCAAGGUCUGAGUCACUGAAGUAUGAUAAUGUGUGAAGUGAACAGUAUAAUAAUAAUGACUGAAGCACAGUAAGAAUCCAGUCAUGCUUUCUCCUUCCCUGAUCUCACUAAGCCACACUUUUAGGGGCUUACAAACCAGUUCUUAUUGCCAAGCCCUCUACUCUACCCUAUCCUUUCAUGAAUCGGAGCCUAGCCUCUGAUAACAUAAAUAAUUUACUUCUCUUGAUGUAGAAAGAGAUGACGUUGUUACCCUGAGUGACAGUCACGACAGAACAAAACCACAAGACCAGACCACAUUUGUGGAUAAAUAUAUUAGCAAAUAAAUAUAUUUCUUAAC
rnacentral:lncRNA from 10 species